ensembl:lncRNA
CGCCAAAGUCCGACUCCGCGCCCCGCCCGGGCCGCUCUCGAGGCGCCCAGCCCGGCCCGCCCGGCCCCCGCCUGCCGCUGCCGCCGAUCGUCCCCUGCUGGCCUCGGCUCGGGGAGGCGCGCGCGCCGGGCCAGGGGGCCCUGGCCGGAGCGGCGGGGACCCGGGGAUCUGCGGCGGCCUCCCGCGUCCCCGGCGAGCGAGCGCUUUACCUCCGCUUCGUGGACGCACGGCCCGCCGGCCUGGCCCUGCGGAGCGGGCGCGCUGCCCUUGCCCCGAAGUCCGGCCCCGGACGGGGCAGCGCGCGGUGAGCGGAUUCCGGGCGCUGUGGCCUCCGCCGCCUCCGGCCCUGCUGGCUUCCUGGCCGCGCUCCCGCUGCCGAGCGCGCACCCUCGCCGGGACACAGACGCACACUCACCGACACACACUCGCUCCCGCUCGCCCUCGGCGGAGAGUUGAAACAGAUGUGGGAUUCGCCCAGGAGCUGGAAACGAGGGAGGAACGCGAGCCAGAGCCGUGUGGGCUCACCCCGCACUGCAAACGCCCUACUGCCUAGGCUGAAAGCCCCGCGCUCGCCGGGAUCUACACACAUUUUCCUUUAGAGGCGCCGGUUCCGGGCCAGCCCCAAGCUAGACCGCGGGGAGAGCUGCCCACGCGCCUCGGAAGUUCUCCGAGAAAUCCUGUUGAGCUCGAGUGAGAAAAGCGGCCCAGAAAUGGCCCGGGAAUAGGAAAGAAAAGACGAACCUGCUUCCUCCGAAAGGGAGGGAUUCGACUCAAGGUGGUGCUGUCUGCCGAGAUUUCCACUAUCCCCAGCAUCACGGCCCAGGCCCAGGGGCACGGGGGCUGGAAGGGGUGGGCCUAGAGCCCGCAGAGAACCAACCAGUAGCUGCAGAAAAUGAAGCUGAGCUGCUAAAGGGAAACAGAUUCUUCUAUAGAAAAGCACUCAUGGGCAGUAGUAACCCAUCUAAACCUAACACACGAAAUCGGUUGUGGCAUUAUACCCAUUUCACAGCUGUGGACACCAAGGUGCAGAGUGGUUAAGUGACUGGCUCAAUACCCAAUUUUAAGUGAUGGAUCUGGGAUUUGAACCCAAGAAGCCCAGCUGCGAGCAAUGCUCUUGCACCCCAGCCAGUGGUGGCAAACCUGUGGCACAGGUGCUGCAGUGGGCUGUUUAUCAUCAAAAGCUCUAAAAGUUUCACCAUUACUGCCACUAGGUUAUUGUCACUCUUAAUCGUGCUUAGAGUUGUCAGAUUUAGUAAAGAUAACAGGAUGUUUAUGGGGAUAUGCUUAUACUAAAAUUUCUUUUGUUUUUAAAAUCUGAAAUUCAAAUCGAAUGUCUUGAGUUGAGGGGGCACUCUAGGCCCUUCGCCUUAGUCUUCCUCCUCAUCUCAGAUGAAUCUAGUCUAAAUCAGAAAAAUCCUUGAACUUUGUUUUAUAAAUUACCUGCUGGCCCCACUGCACUGCCUGAUUUUGCAGUACAAUGUCAUGCUUCCUGUUUGACCUUUGUGGAACCCCAAGAUAUUGGAGUCCCUCCUGUCUCCUCAGAAGGGAAGUCAGACCCACCGUGGUGCUUUACCACAGAUGUAUGCUGCACGCCAUGGAUAUAACUGAAAAUUGUCUAGUACUGGCCAAUAGAGGGUUAAAAAAAAGCAGAUGGGGUUAGUUUUCCUAAUGUAGCUUAUUUAACCAGUAUACCCAAAUUAUCAUCUCUUCAGUAUAUAUUCAAUAUAAAAAUUAUUAGUGAGUUUUUCUACAUUCUUUUUUUUUUUUCUUUUUUGUUUUGGUACUGGGGAUCGAACUCAGGACCUUUCGCUUUUGAGGCAGGCAGCAGAACCACUGAGCUAAAUCCCCAGCUACAUUCUCUUUUCUUAAUCUUUGCAUGUGGUGGGUAUUUUCUUCUUAAAAUCCCUCUCCAUCUGGAUCAGCUUCGUGCAGUUUGGGUUCCGGUACUGGACAGCCUGGCUGCAGUUGGUUCUGUGGGCAGAGGCAGU